GUGCUCGCUUCAGCAGCACAUAUACUAAAACUGGAACGAUACAGAGAAGAUUAGCAUGGCCCCUGUGCAAGGAUGACACGCAAAUUUGUGAAGUGUUCCAUAUUUUU
ensembl:snRNA Gm22044 predicted gene, 22044